UACGUAGGGUGCAGGCGUUAAUCGGAAUUACUGGGCGUAAAGCGUGCGCAGGCGGUCUCUUAAGUCAGGAGUGAAAGCCCUCGGCUUAACCGGGGAAGUGCUUUUGAAACUGCAUGACUUGAAUACUGGAGAGGGUCGCGGAAUUCCCGGUGUAGAGGUGAAAUUCGUAGAUAUCGGGAGGAACACCAGUGGCGAAGGCGGCGACCUGGACAGAUAUUGACGCUGAGGUGCGAAAGCGUGGGGAGCAAACAGG
rnacentral:rRNA from 1 species